CCAGAUUGUUCUUGGCCCCAGCUGGAAGCGUACUUAUUGUGUCAGCAAGAAUCCAGUGGGCUCUGGAGUGUGACCUGCUACUGGGUAGAAAUUGAACAAAAGCAUUCUUUGCUAUUAUACCUGGGUUGUUCUUCACUGUUCCCUGGGAAUCUGUUACGGAAAUUAUGCUGAGCUAAUAAUUCUGAUGGGAUGAUCUUCACUCAUGCAGACUGUGGCGUCAUGUAGAAGGAAGGCUAAUAUGGAUGUGAGGUUCAAGAUCAAGAUGGGCAACUGAUGGUCAGACUCCAGUGGUUCUUCAAAACUUUCUAGGAGGUAAACAAGAUGAAAGGGAAAGCACACAAAUUUGCUGGAAUUUGGAAAACACGAACCCUGGAAUUUGGAGGAGUCACUUCCACUGGAAAAUACUUUUAUAUUAUUUAUAGUGGCUACCAUUACUGUGCUCACUUUACAGGUGAGGUUCAGAGAUUUAUGUAACAUGCCAAAGGUCACACAGCUGGACACAGCAGAACCAAGAUUCAAAUCUGCACAGGCUCUCAACCAAUUGGAUGGCACCUGCCCACCUUCCCUAAGAGUGGUUCUUCCUUACUUAGUACACUGAUUCAAAUGCCAUCUCUCCUGGAAACAUCCUGACAGACAUGCCCAGAAAUAAUGUUUUACUGGCUAUCUAGAUAUCCCUCAACCCAGUCAAGUUGACACCUAAAAUGAACCAUCACAAUACCAAUUGUGAAAACUGUGUUACUAUUUGUCAAAGAUUUGGCUUUCUCAUCUGGUGAGAAAAUUAUACUUGCCCAACCUGUUGAAAUCAGGCAGGGCAAUGACUGACUUAACUAUGGCUAACAAAAUAUAAACAGAAGUGAUAUGUGUCACUUUUAGGCAGAAGUUUUCAGAGUCGCUGCUUGAUGAUAAGACGUGUUCUUUUUCACUAGUCUUCAAAUAUGGAAGCAUGUGAAAAGUCUGGGCACCUCACUGACCACAAGGAGCAGAGGUCCCUGGAUAACACAUGAUGGAUGUGUGACAAGAAUGAGAAAUAAACAGUGUUGGUUUAAGCCUCUGAGAUUCUGAUUCCACUGCAUAGCCUAGCCUCUCCAGAAUGGCCAAGCAAACCUUCCCAAACAGACCUGAUGACGAGUCAGCGGCUGAAAUCAGCCUUCAAAACUAGCUCCCAGUGAAUGGACAAUGAAACUUAGAAAUGAAUAAACUGAAAGCACGUGAAAGGACUGGAAAAAUAGUAAAACGAGUAAUCAGUAACAACUUCUGACUUCCUCUGGCCAUCCUUCUACUUAACUAAGAAAAUUUGAAGCAACGAAAACAAUGUAUGCAAGCCUACAUCACCACCUUUAUCUGCCUUCAAGACUCCACUCACACAGUUUGUCUUUCCUGUUGCAAUUAGAGUGAACUGGUAGUGAUCUUAUCUGAGACCAAUUUAUAUGUGUGUUCUAAAUCUCAUCUCUUCCAGCCUCCUCAGGAACAACAAUUCUCCUGCCUUUCUUCUAUGCCAUUAAUUUCUUCCCUUCUACCACUGCAUUCUCAUCAGCAUUUAACAUGGGUCUUGCAUCAUAUCCCAAUACUCCUGUUAACAGCCAGCCACAUGGGACUACUUGUCAGUCACCUAAGCCUGCAAUGCAUUGUCAUUAUGUUAUGCUUUAGGUGAACUGGUGAUCUUCUGCUUGAAAUGUUACUUACCCCCUGCAACCAUACAAACAUAGUUUGUCUCUCAAACCCUCCAAAUAUUCCCUCUGUGAAACAUUUUCUGAUUUUCCUCAAUGAGAAUUAUUUCACUUUUGUUUUCUCAACAGUUUUUUUUCAUUCACUUAUUUGAAGUGCUUACUAUAUUGCCAAUCAGUGAACAAGAUGUUUUAAAGGAAAUGUGGGCACAUUUGGGCAUACACACAAACAACACAAGGCAAUUAUCCUAAUUAUGUUUUGAAUCAAAUUCUAAAUGUAAUCAUUUGUGGUUAAACAUAUGGAACUAAUAGUUGAGCACUUUUAACUUUUAUUUUGAUUAUCUCUUUAUUUAUCCACCUUUCCUUGUAGUAUGCUAGUGUUGGAUGAAAGCUUUCUUUGGUCACUGGGGUUCAUUGGUUAUUGGUCAAGACCGUGAGGCUCAGAGUAAUGCAGAUGUGACUGUAAGUUCUGCUCUUCUGAUUAUCUGUGUCUCAGCUUCAUUAAAACCUGGAUUUCUUAGUUAUGCAGAUGCACAAUUUUGUAGGAUCAAAUGUGUGAUGCUUAUAACACAAUUAGCACACUGUCUAGCACAGAGUUGGUCCCUCAUAAACACUGGACAUUACUGAUUCUGUAAAUAUUGUUUUAUUUUUAUCAUAUUUAUUUUCACAAUAGUAUUGCAGUAUCUGGCAUAUAGUAGUGCUUAUUAAACAUGUGAUGGAU